AUGAAUAGCACAACACCUGCAAUCUUGAGCUGGAAUGUCUAAGGGCUGAACUCGCCGGCAAAGAGGACUGCCGUGCGCCAAGUUGCUGAAGCGCUGCACAUAUCCAUCCUCUGCCUUCAGGAAACAAAGCUGGAGGACUGGCAAAAACCCACCGUCAGAGAGCUGGGAGGAAACAUGUUGGAGGGCUGCGCUGUCCUCCCAGCCAUGGGCACUAGAGGAGGAGCCGCCAUUCUAUGGAACAAGAGGAGCGUUACUUUUGUCUCUCAAGCAGUCGGAUGUUUCUCGAUCACAGGUAAAGUCACGGUGCUGCACGACGGCUCCUAGUUCUGGUUGACAUCAGUUUAUGGUCCAGUGGAUGAUACGCGCAAAGAUGCUUUUCUUGCUGAGCUUGCCCAUGUUGCGCCCCCGUCUGGCGAGCCGUGGUUGAUCAAUGGGGACUUUAACAUUAUCUAUGAAGCUCGUGACAAAAACAACCUCAAUCUGAAUAGGAGGAUUAUGGGCAUGUUCAGAACAGCUAUUGACAGGGCAGGCCUCAGAGAAAUUAAGUGCAAAAAUAGAAGAUUUACAUGGUCAAAUGAGAGGGAAAAUCCGACUUUGGUUAGUAUUGACAAAGUGUUCUGCAACCUGGAAUGGGAGGCCCUUUUCCCCUCAUACAUUCUGAUGGCAGAAUCAACAGCCUGCUCAGAUCACUGUCCCUUACUCCUGGCAAACACUGCUGCUCCGCGUAGAAAGCCGGUUUUCCGUUUUGAAAACUUCUGGCCAAGUUUCCCGCACUUCCAGGAGACUGUCGCCCGGGCUUGGCAACGGCCGGUCAAUCACAGCUGCCCGUUUAUCCGCUUAGAGAAGAAGAUGAAGAGGACGGCAGCUGAUCUGAAAAUUUGGGCAAAAACACAUUUCAGCGAUGCAAAACUACAGUUCCACCUGGCCUGCCAAGUUAUUCUUAGACUUGAUAUUGCACAAGCAGAAGAUUGUCAGAGAGCGAAUUCCUUCUGA
rnacentral:rRNA from 1 species